rnacentral:pre_miRNA from 1 species
UGGACAAAUUAUUGUAUUCGACUGUACUCACGGUGUAAAACAUGGGAUUACACUGUUUUUAAACGAAAAGUGAAUCAAUUAACAUAAUAAACUCCU